rnacentral:rRNA from 2 species
CCUGGCGGCGAUAGCGCGGUGGUCCCACCUGACCCCAUGCCGAACUCAGAAGUGAAACGCCGUAGCGCCGAUGGU